CCUACGGGGGGCAGCAGUGGGGAAUAUUGCACAAUGGGGGAAACCCUGAUGCAGCGACGCCGCGUGAGUGAAGAAGUCAUUCGUUAUGUAAAGCUCUAUCAGCAGGGAAGAAACACUGACCUUACGGUCAGCAGACGGUACCUGAGUAAGAAGCCCCGGCUAACUACGUGCCAGCAGCCGCGGUAAUACGCAGGGGGCAAGCGUUAUCCGGAUUUACUGGGUGGAAAGGGAGCGUAGACGGUGCGCCAAGUCUGGAGUGAAAGGCCGGAGCUGAACUGCGGAACUGCAUUGGAAACUGGCGAACUGGAGUGCGGGAGGGGUAAGCGGAAUUCCUAGUGGAGCGGUGAAAUGCGUAGAUAUUAGGAGGAACACCGGUGGCGAAGGCGGCUUACUGGACCGUAACUGACGUUGAGGCUCGAAAGCGUGGGGAGCAAACAGGAUUAGAUACCCCUGUAGUC
rnacentral:rRNA from 1 species